GCUGCUGUGGCUCAGUUGGUAGAGCAGCUGAUUCGUAAUCAGCAGGUCGGCGGUUCGAGUCCGCCCAGCAGCUCCA
rnacentral:tRNA from 2 species